UAUCGAGAUAUAAAAAUGAAUUUUUAAUUCAUCAAAGUGCCCUCGGACACCUCAAUAA
rnacentral:tRNA from 1 species